rnacentral:rRNA from 1 species
CAGUAGCCACGGUAAAACGUAGGGUGCAAGCGUUAAUCGGAAUUACUGGGCGUAAAGCGUGCGCAGGCGGUUAUAUAAGACAGAUGUGAAAUCCCCGGGCUCAACCUGGGAACUGCAUUUGUGACUGUAUAGCUAGAGUACGGCAGAGGGGGAUGGAAUUCCGCGUGUAGCAGUGAAAUGCGUAGAUAUGCGGAGGAACACCGAUGGCGAAGGCAAUCCCCUGGGCCUGUACUGACGCUCAUGCACGAAAGCGUGGGGAGCAAACAGGAUUAGAUACCCCAGUAGUCCCUGUCUCUUAUAC